AAUAUGAAACAUUGAAACGUCACCGUUUUGAUUAUCUCCACCAGAACGAGUCCGGCUUGGAAGAUAAAAGGAAGCAUCUCGAGCGUAAGGGAGCAAACAGUAGAGUGAAGAAAACUGAUGAAUUGAAGAUGAUACACAACCUCUCGAAGCCCCUUGAUCUCAUACACUUCCCAAAGCCCUCCAAAACUCUAAUCACUAAAACUCACUUUUCUUCUUCUGGCCCUUAUGGACAUGGUUCUCCACCAAUUUUACGGUUCAAGAGCAACUCAUUUCUUCUCUAUAAGCGCACCAGUCUCAGCAUUAGGGCUUCUACAAUUUCCUCUUCGGCUUUGACUUCGCCGCCUGAAGAAGAUGCAGAGUCCACACAGCUAUUUGAGAAAUUGAAGGAUGCAGAGAGGGAACGAAUAAAUAAAUUGGAAGAACUUGAAAACAAGGCUAAUGUGCAAUUAGAGAGGCAGCUUGUCCUGGCUUCAGAUUGGAGUAGGGCAUUGUUGGCUAUGCAGGGAAAAUUGAAAGGGACUGAGUGGGAUCCUGAGAACUCACACAGGAUUGACUACAGUGAAUUUUGGAGACUUCUUAACUCAAAUAAUGUCCAGUUCAUGGAGUACUCAAAUUAUGGCCAGACAAUAUCAGUUAUUCUGCCAUACUACAAAGAUGGAAAAAAGGAAGGGGGAGAAGGAAAUUUAAAUAAGGAAAUUGUUUUUCGGCGCCAUGCAGUUGACCGGAUGCCAAUUGAUUGUUGGAAUGAUGUUUGGCGAAAGUUGCAUGAACAGGUGGUAAAUGUUGACGUUCUUAAUGUGGAUGCAGUACCUGCAGAAGUCUACUCCACUAUUGCAACUGCAGUUGUAUGGUCAAUGCGGCUUGCGCUUUCUAUUGUAUUGUAUCUUUGGAUCGAUAAUUUGACGAGACCAAUUUAUGCAAAGUUAAUACCUUGUGAUUUGGGAACUCCUAGCAAAAAGCCAAGACAGCCACUCAAGCGACGUACACUUGGAUCGUUAGGCAAGAGUCGGGCAAAGUUUAUAUCAGCAGAAGAAACUACUGGUGUUACCUUUGAUGAUUUUGCGGGCCAGGAAUACAUAAAAAGGGAACUGCAAGAGAUUGUGCGUAUUCUAAAGAAUGAUGAAGAGUUCCAAAAUAAGGGCAUCUAUUGCCCAAAAGGUGUGCUUCUCCAUGGGCCUCCUGGAACUGGUAAAACAUUGCUGGCUAAAGCUAUUGCUGGUGAGGCAGGUCUUCCAUUUUUUGCAGCAAACGGCACUGAUUUUGUUGAGAUGUUUGUAGGUGUGGCAGCGUCACGUGUCAAAGAUCUGUUUGCUAGUGCUCGGUCAUUUUCACCAUCCAUCAUUUUUAUUGAUGAGAUAGAUGCUAUUGGCAGCAAGCGUGGUGGGCCUGAUAUUGGUGGGGGUGGUGCUGAGAGGGAACAGGGCUUGCUUCAGAUACUGACUGAGAUGGAUGGAUUUAAAGUUUCAACAGCUCAGGUGUUAGUUAUAGGUGCAACCAACAGACUGGACAUUCUAGACCCUGCUCUCCUGAGGAAGGGCCGUUUUGACAAGAUUAUAAGGGUUGGUUUACCAUCUAAAGAUGGUAGACUGGCCAUAUUAAAGGUGCAUGCAAGGAAUAAAUUUUUCCGUUCAGAGGAGGAAAAGGAGGGUCUAUUGCAGGAAAUUGCAGAGCUUACAGAAGACUUCACUGGGGCAGAGCUGCAGAAUAUACUGAAUGAAGCUGGAAUUUUAACUGCCCGGAAGGAUUUAGAUUACAUUGGCCGGGAAGAACUUCUGGAGGCCUUAAAAAGGCAAAAGGGAACAUUUGAAACAGGUCAAGAAGACAGUACUGAAAUUCCAGAGGAAUUGAAACUGAGAUUGGCAUAUAGAGAGGCAGCUGUGGCUGUUCUUGCAUGCUACUUUCCAGAUCCCUACCGCCCUUUCAUUGAGACAAAUAUAAAUUCCAUACAUAGCCAGCCAAAUAUGCGCUAUGCAGAAACUUCUGGAAGGGUCUUCUCAAGGAAAGCAGAUUAUUUGAACUCUAUAGUGCGUGCCUGUGCUCCCAGAGUAAUCGAGGAGGAGAUGUUUGGGGUUGACAACUUGUGUUGGAUCUCUGCAAAGGCUACAUCAGAAACGUCAAGGCUCGCAGAAUUUUUGAUUCUGCAGACGGGAAUGACUGCUUUUGGAAAAGCUUAUUACAGAAAUCAAGGUGAUCUUGUGCCAAAUCUUGCAGCUAAGCUUGAAGCACUUAGAGAUGAAUACGUGCGCUUUGCUGUGGAGAAAUGUUCAUCUGUGCUUAGGGAAUAUCAGUCAGCUGUGGAGACAAUCACAGAUAUUCUACUUGAGAAGGGAGAGAUGAAAGCUGAUGAAAUUUGGGAGAUAUAUACAAGGGCUCCUAGAAUACCUCAGCCUACUGUGAAUCCGGUUGAUGAAUAUGGUGCCCUAAUUUAUGCUGGAAGAUGGGGAAUCCAUGGGAUUACACUUCCUGGAAGGGUUACGUUUGCACCUGGAAAUGUGGGGUUUUCUACCUUUGGUGCGCCCCGCCCUAUGGAGACUCAAAUCAUCAGUGAUGAAACUUGGAAACUAAUCGAUGGUAUCUGGGAUAAAAGGGUUCAGGAAAUUAAAGCUGAAGCCUCAAUCCAAGUUGAAGAAGAGAAGGAGAAGCCACAACUUUUAGUGGCCAGCCAUUUCCUUUGAAAAGUCAGCAUAUACUUCAUGGCAGGUCUUCGGAAUUUUUUGUUGACCUUAAUUCAUCCAUGCUUGCAAAACGAGGAUGCAUGUUGAAGUUGCAAGUGGAACUACAAUGUUGCUUCUCUUGCGAGCAUCGAUCUUUCCAAUAUCAUACCAUCAGAGAAGGGCAUGUUGGAUUUUACAGGGCCUUCAAGAUUGAGUUGUUAUCAAAGGUAUGGGUGCUAGAGAUGUUGAAAGCACAAGUAGAUUUUCUGGAGAGUAAUUGUUGUCUACUAUGAUUAAAGCUCUGGAAUUUUGGAAGGCCACAGCAUGGACAAUGGAAAAACAGGCAGAUAUUCAAGUGACAAGCAAAUUGUUAAAUUUUUUUUAAUACUGUUCAUCAUUCCAUCUAAAUCGAUGCUGUGGAAUUCAACAAAUUUUGAAUUUGUUAAUCUUAUUGGGAUCUUCAAAUUGUAAAUUAGACUAAUUGUUUUUUUGGCCAUAGGGUUCUCUAUCUGGACUACAAUAAUUAUUUUUGUUGGCACUAGCCAGGAUUAACAAUUUUAUGAACUGGUCAAUUUAUUUUGAUAUAAGACUAGUCAAUUAUUUUUAUUUAUUUAUUUA